GAUGCUUUGGUGCCUUCGGGAACUCUGAGACAGGUGCUGCAUGGCUGUCGUCAGCUCGUGUUGUGAAAUGUUGGGUUAAGUCCCGCAACGAGCGCAACCCUUAUCCUUUGUUGCCAGCGGUCCGGCCGGGAACUCAAAGGAGACUGCCAGUGAUAAACUGGAGGAAGGUGGGGAUGACGUCAAGUCAUCAUGGCCCUUACGAGUAGGGCUACACACGUGCUACAAUGGCGCAUACAAAGAGAAGCGAACUCGCGAGAGCAAGCGGACCUCAUAAAGUGCGUCGUAGUCCGGAUUGGAGUCUGCAACUCGACUCCAUGAAGUCGGAAUCGCUAGUAAUCGUAGAUCAGAAUGCUACGGUGAAUACGUUCCCGGGUCUUGUACACACCG
rnacentral:rRNA from 1 species